rnacentral:rRNA from 1 species
CAUACGACCGUACCGCAAACCGACACUGGUGCGCGAGAUGAGUAUUCUAAGGCGCUUGAGAGAACUCAGGAGAAGGAACUCGGCAAAUUGACACCGUAACUUCGGAAGAAGGUGUGCCCUAUUAGUGUGUAGUGAACAACGAAGCAUGAAUGGGUUGCAAAAAAUCGGUGGCUGCGACUGUUUAUUAAAAACACAGCACUCUGCAAACACGAAAGUGGACGUAUAGGGUGUGACGCCUGCCCGGUGCUGGAAGAUUAAAUGAUGGGGUGCAAGCUCUUGAUUGAAGUCCCAGUAAACGGCGGCCGUAACAAUAACGGUCCUAAGGUAGCGAAAUUCCUUGUCGGGUAAGUUCCGACCAGCACGAAUGGCGUAACGAUGGCCACACUGUCUCCUCCUGAGACUCAGCGAAGUUGAAAUGUUUGUGAUGAUGCAAUCUCCCCGCGGAAAGACGGAAAGACCCCAUGAACCUUUACUGUAGCUUUGUAUUGGACUUUGAACAGAUCUGUGUAGGAUAGGUGGGAGGCUUUGAAGCAGGGUCGCUAGAUCUUGUGGAGCCAACGUUGAAAUACCACCCUGGUGUGUUUGAGGUUCUAACCUAGGUCCAUUAUCUGGAUCGGGGACAGUGCAUGGUAGGCAGUUUGACUGGGGCGGUCUCCUCCCAAAGCGUAACGGAGGAGUUCGAAGGUACGCUAGUUACGGUCGGACAUCGUGACGAUAGUGCAAUGGCAUAAGCGUGCUUAACUGCGAGACUGACAAGUCGAGCAGAUGCGAAAGCAGGACAUAGUGAUCCGGUGGUUCUGUAUGGAAGGGCCAUCGCUCAACGGAUAAAAGGUACUCUGGGGAUAACAGGCUGAUACCGCCCAAGAGUUCAUAUCGACGGCGGUGUUUGGCACCUCGAUGUCGGCUCAUCUCAUCCUGGGGCUGUAGCCGGUCCCAAGGGUAUGGCUGUUCGCCAUUUAAAGAGGUACGUGAGCUGGGUUUAAAACGUCGUGAGACAGUUUGGUCCCUAUCUUCCGUGGGCGCUGCAGAUUUGAGGAAGCCUGCUCCUAGUACGAGAGGACCGGAGUGGACACACCUCUGGUGCAUCGGUUGUCACGCCAGUGGCAUUGCCGAGUAGCUAAGUGUGGAAGAGAUAACCGCUGAAAGCAUCUAAGCGGGAAACUCGUUUCAAGAUGAGAUCUGCCGGGGCCUUGAGCCCCCUAAAGAGUCGUUCAAGACCAGGACGUUGAUAGGUCAGGUGUGGAAGUG